rnacentral:rRNA from 1 species
GACGGGGGGGGCAAGUGUUCUUCGGAAUGACUGGGCGUAAAGGGCUCGUAGGCGGUUUGUCGCGUCGGGAGUGAAAACCAGGUGCUUAACACCUGGCUUGCUUUCGAUACGGGCAGACUAGAGGUAUUCAGGGGAGGAACGGAAUUCCUGGUGUAGCGGUGGAAAUGACGCAGAGUAUCAGGAGGAACACCGGUGGCGAAGGCGGGUAGCUGGGCCGACACUGACGCUGAUGCGCGAAAGCCAGGGGAGCGAACGGG